UGGGGCGUGGCGCAGUGGUAGCGCAGCGGACUGUUAAUCCGUUGGUCGUCAGUUCGAAUCUGACCGCCCCAGCCA
rnacentral:tRNA from 3 species